AUGAAACAGAGUGAACAUGAUAAAAGUGGUAACUAUCAUCUUGGAACAAAAUGGAGCAAAGCCCUGAUGUUUUGGGGACACCAGCAGAGCCUUGCUCACAUGCCAGUCAAGAUGCCCAUGAGGUCAGAGUUCUAUGAGAUCACUUUGUCAGCCCAUCCAUUGGAUAAGGAUUCCCACUCUUGUGAUCUGCUGUAAAUCAGAGCCCACUGGGGAAGCUCAUUCUAUACACCAGAAGGACCUUUAGCCUUUGGAACUGGCCUGUCCCUUUAGAGGAUGACUUCAUACAUUGCAAUGUCAACAAAGAAAGGAUAGGACUCUCAAUUUCCCUGUGGAGCCAGCUACAGAGACACCCACUCACCCCCAGCAAAUGGAGACAAGAGAGGUCUUUCUGGGAGCCUCUCAUCAGCACUGAAAAAAACAAACAGACUCUGGUCCAUCAGGAUGAGACUGGGAAGCUACAAAUAAAGUUAUUAAAAGUGAUGUCUUUGGGGCUGGGGAUGUGGCUCAAGCGGUAGUGCGCUCGCCUGGC